rnacentral:rRNA from 1 species
AGAGUUUGAUCAUGGCUCAGAAUGAACGCUGGCGGCGUGCUUAACACAUGCAAGUCGCACGAGAACGCUUCAGCUUGCUGAAGUAAGUAAAGUGGCGCACGGGUGAGUAACGCGUGGGUAAUCUUCCCCCGAAUUGGGGAUAACCCGCCGAAAGGCGGGCUAAUACCGAAUGACAUCUUGAAAACGUAUGUUUUUAAGAUCAAAGAUGGCCUCUACAUGUAAGCUAUUGUUUGGGGAUGAGCCCGCGUACCAUUAGCUUGUUGGUAGGGUAAUGGCCUACCAAGGCUACGAUGGUUAGCUGGUCUGAGAGGAUGAUCAGCCACACUGGAACUGACACACGGUCCAGACUCCUACGGGAGGCAGCAGUGAGGAAUUUUGCGCAAUGGGGGAAACCCUGACGCAGCAACGCCGCGUGAGUGAUGAAGGCUUUCGGGUCGUAAAGCUCUGUCAAGUGAGAAGAAACCAUAUGGUGUUAAUAUCGCCAUAUGCUGACGGUACCACUGAAGGAAGCACCGGCUAACUCCGUGCCAGCAGCCGCGGUAAUACGGGGGGUGCGAGCGUUAUUCGGAUUUACUGGGCGUAAAGAGCGCGUAGGCGGUCUUUCAAGUCAGGUGUGAAAGCCCGGGGCUCAACCCCGGAAGUGCACUUGAAACUAAAAGACUUGAGUAUGGGAGAGGGAAGUGGAAUUCCUGGUGUAGCGGUGAAAUGCGUAGAUAUCAGGAGGAACAUCGGUGGCGAAGGCGACUUCCUGGACCAAUACUGACGCUGAGGCGCGAAGGCGUGGGGAGCAAACAGGAUUAGAUACCCUGGUAGUCCACGCAGUAAACGGUGAACACUAGGUGUAGCGGGUAUUGACCCCUGCUGUGCCGCAGCAAACGCAUUAAGUGUUCCGCCUGGGGAGUACGGCCGCAAGGUUAAAACUCAAAGGAAUUGACGG